rnacentral:rRNA from 1 species
UACGUAGGGUGCGAGCGUUGUCCGGAAUUAUUGGGCGUAAAGAGCUUGUAGGCGGUUUGUCGCGUCUGCCGUGAAAAUCCGGGGCUCAACCCCGGACUUGCGGUGGGUACGGGCAGACUAGAGUGUGGUAGGGGAGACUGGAAUUCCUGGUGUAGCGGUGAAAUGCGUAGAUAUCUGGAGGAACACCGGUGGCGAAGGCGGCAUCCUGGACCGACACUGACGCUGAGGAGCGAAAGCCAGGGGAGCAAACGGG